UGUCAACACUGAGUCCGACUAAAACGUCAUGCCUCGUUGCCAAUUUCACUGAACCAUUUAUAGACAAACACGGACAAGAAAGCGCAAGAGAAAACAGAAAUGGCGAACAAUAACCCUAAGAAGGCUAAUCUCUUAGAUCAUCACUCCAUCAAAUACGUCUUUGAUGAGACCGUUCCCAAGGCUUGGGACAUGUUAAGGGAGGGGCUUAGCUCUUGAAUGUCAUUUAAUAUAUUUGCAGGCAAAUCCGGUGAGGUUUGAGUAUCUUUGGAUUUGAGUUAAUUUAGAUGGAGAAAUGAGAGACUGUUAGAGUCCGAGUAUAUGUGAAGAAGAAGAAAGGAGGAGGGAAGGCAAGAAGAAAGGCACGUCCAGAGGAAGACACUGGAAAGCAAAUCAUGAUGGCAGAGGGCUGUAAUUUUAAUCCAGAUGGCAGCACUCCAGAAGCAACAAAGGCAGCAGACAAGCAGCAAACGUUUUGGGACAUGCUGGAAAAGAAAGAAAUUAUGAAGAUACCGAAAGGUGAGCUGGCAUGCAGGGAUUGGAAAAGCAGUUGUGAGGAAUUAAGAAAUAGGGACCUGGAGAAGGAAAGAGGGGAGAUUGGAGAAGAAGUAGAAAGGAAGUGGGGGAGAGCUCCAGCCUCUCGAAAGCUGGAUGGCAUUGAACUUUCUUGAAUCCAUUGAGUCAUUGUAGUCAGUGAGGGUUUUAGCUUAAUUGCUGUGUGAGAGUCUAGCUGUGUUGUUGUUGCAAUUCUUUUGAUUGCUUGUUACUGUUGGGAGCUUUAGUUAUUAUGUUUUGUGAGGAGAUUAUUAGUCAAUGUCUAUAGAGUGUGCUGCUUGAUUUUGUAACCCCAGUGCCAGGGGAAUGGAAAACUGAUUGUCUCUGUUGCUUAAUGAAUUUAUUACAAUUGGAAUGUCAA